rnacentral:rRNA from 1 species
CACGUAGGGUGCGAGCGUUGUCCGGAAUUAUUGGGCGUAAAGAGCUCGUAGGCGGCUUGUCACGUCGGAUGUGAAAGCCCGGGGCUUAACUCCGGGUCUGCAUUCGAUACGGGCAGGCUAGAGUUCGGUAGGGGAGAUCGGAAUUCCUGGUGUAGCGGUGAAAUGCGCAGAUAUCAGGAGGAACACCGGUGGCGAAGGCGGAUCUCUGGGCCGAUACUGACGCUGAGGAGCGAAAGCGUGGGGAGCGAACAGG